rnacentral:lncRNA from 1 species
GCUGGUUCUUCGAUUGCUUGCAGGACGAGUGCCCUAGUGGCCGGGUGUUGCGCUCCACAAGAUCGUGACAGCCAUUGGAGGCGGUGUAUCGGUUGCUAAGGCGCGGCCUUGGAAGGCUGUAGUCGGGCCGUGAACGUCAUCUCCAUUCACUAAUCGAGUUAUCCAGCGCCUCUCAUCGAAAGAUCGGGCGAAAACCCUAGUGGGUUCACAUCACCUGAUUUCUCCAGUGGCUAAGUGCUUGAUUGCAUCACACGGUG